UGGAUGAGCCCUUGUGGGAAUACAAACACAUCACCCUUAUUGAGGAUCUUUGCAAAAAGCGUGUUGUUUGGGUUGGAGGUGACAAACCCAACGUAAAGAGUUCCCUCAAGCACUGUUAGGAUCUCAGUGGCACGUGGGUGGGUGUGUGGUGGAUUCUCACCUAGGGGUGCAUAGUCAAUGCGAGCUAGAGAGAUGCCUAGAGUGUUGAGACCAGGGAGCUGCAAGGCACUGAUCAAUGUGACAUUAGAUCCCACCUUGCUAUGCGCGGUGUUCCUAGGCUCGUCAAGUUUAGCUGCCUUGAAGAAGUCAUCUGCAUUCACGGCCAUGGGGUCCUUGCAAGCAAACCCAUUCACCUUCACUGUAGAAGCCAAAUAGAUACACAUAGAUCAGAAACUAGGUAGCGCAGAAGAUUAGAAGUUCACUGUAUGCAAAGAACGAAGAAGGAAAAUAGAAACAGGAAGAUGUGCACUCUGACAGAAGAGCACUUGUUUUGAUUCGUGUUUACUACAUUAACAUCAAAACAUGCAUUAAACUAAGCCAGUGUUCAUGCAUAUACCAGGAGAGUGCUUGUCAGCUACACAGAAGUCCUGGAGUGGGCUAGGAUCGGAAGCAUUAGCCUGGCAAGCGACCAAUGCUAGAAAAACAGCAAGAAGGAAGUAGGAGGAGGGGGCCAUUUUUGUUUCUCCUCGUGCUUCUUUGUCGGUGCUUUUUGCAGUAGGCUAACCAGCUGCUUGUGUUUGUUUUCUUGAUGCUUUGGUGAGGAAGAAGGGGGAUGGAUGUGUUUAUAUAGCCACAGCAGGUAGCAUCGUGAACUUCUGAACAACUGAGUAAGUCACACGUUGAACCGGCCAACAGAAGAACUGGUCUCUGGUUGCUAGAACCUGCUGAUGGAACAACACAGCUACAUCAACCUUUGAAAGCUAUGUCGCUUUCAAUAUUUUGACACGCUACUACCAAAUCUGAUCAGGUCUCUUUGGUCCAGGCCAAAUCUAUAAAAAGUAUACCCGUUCCUUUCUGUGUUGAAUGGCAUAAAUAAGAUGGUUACCCUGAGUGGCACACAUAUGAUGGUUACCCUUUUUCAAUUUGAUCAAUCUCGGACUUCAAAAUUCUAGGGAGUUAAGGAACAAACAAAAAACAAAGGGAGAUGUGGUCGAUCUCGGUCGGAGGUUGGGGAUAACAGGUGGGGGCCACCCAUCAGUGGUGGAGCGGAGGUGGGUGUGGGAGCGGGCUGGUGUUGACGGCAAUUAGCAUGCCAAAUUGUGAGAAAAUUGAAAUAUGAAGAUGAUUUAGUUUUCUAAAACAAAACAGAGUCACACAAAAAUUAUAAGGAUGGCAUAUGAGCAGCUUGUGGACUGUGAUAGUUGCAGAAACUAGAAAAAUGGUAUGGUGCAGUGCAAAGGUCAAACUAUGCUUGCGCUCACCUAAAUAAGAGUAAAAAACGUGCAGAAAUCUAUUGUUACUUCCUAAUAUCUGCACAUUAUACCUCAUACAAAGAACAAUUUACCUGUACUCAUGUUCACCUCAUACCAAGAAGGCAUGCAAGAACAACUUGUAGAGGGGCAGCUGCCACACACGAUUUACUUUUGAGUUAAUCAGGUAAGCUUCCAUCCAUGAGCUCGAGUGCCCACUUGGAGAUCUGUCCCACGGCGUCGCGGUUGUGGACGAUCUCCCCCAGUGGGUACGAGGUGACGACCAUGACCUCGUGGUCGGUGAAGUAGUGCAGGAGCUUCCGGGUCACCAUCAGCACGGCGUACAGAAGCUUCUGGACUUGGGGGUAGCGAACUUUGACAUCAACGAGUACCUCACUGACGAAGUACACCGGUCGUUGGACCUUCGGCGCGUCUCCCGGCUCCUCCCUCUCGAUGAUGAGGGCAGCGCUGACCAUGUGGUUGGUGGCCGCAAUGUAGAGGAGGAGAGGUUCUCCCCGUUCGGGAGCGACGAGGAUUGGGGCUGACGUCAGAGACGCUUUGAGGCUUUCCAAAGCCUAUUGUGCCUCCUCCGUCCAAACGAAAGUGUCUGUUUUCUUGAGAAGUUUGUAGAGAGGCAUCCCCCAUUCGCCUAGUCGGAAGAUGAACUGGCUUAAGGUGGUCAAGCUACCAUUUAGCCUCUGUACGUCCUUCACAUUGCGUAUGGGGCCCAUGUUGGUGAUGGCUGUGAUCUUUUCGAGGUUGGCUUCGAUGCAGCGCUCGGGCACGAUGUAUCCAACAACUUCCCCUUUGGAACCCUGAAAACGCAUUUCUCGGGAUUUAGUUUGAUGCUAAACCUUUGGAGGUUCGUGAAUGUUGCGGCUAAGUUCUCGAUCAGGUCUCUUGCUUGAGCCGUUUUUACUACUAUGUCGUCCACGUAGACGGCAAUAGUAGGUUUUGGCCGCUCGACUUGGUUGGGCUGGUCGGGUGGAUCAAUUUGAUCGGUGAAGCAUCGCUGCAUGCACCGUUGAUAGGUGGCACCCGCGUUCUUCAAACCGAACGGCAUGGUCACGUAACAGUAUGAACCAUACGGGGUGAUGAAGGAGGUUGCGACCUGGUCGGUCUCUUUCAUCGCGAUCUGGUGGUAGCCUAAGUAGGCAUCCAGAAAGGAGAGGAUUUCGCAUCCUGAGGUAGAGUCGACUAUCUGAUCUAUACGCGGUAAAGGAAAAUGAUCCUUGGUUCACGGCUUGUUAAGGCCAGUAUAGUCAACACACAUUCUCCAUUUCCCAUUCUUCUUUUUUACAAGAAUAGAAUUGGCGAGCCAGUCAAAGUGGUACACCUCCUUGAUGAAGCCAACUGCUAGGAGUUUGGCAAUUUCCUUGCCUAUGGCCCUACGCCUCUCGUCAUGAAAACAAUGCAGGCGUUGCUUGACGGGCUUUGAGCUCGGGGAGAUGCGUAGUGUGUGCUCGGCGACCUCCCUCGAUAUGCCCAACAUGUCAAAAUGUUUCCAUGUGAAGACAUCCCGGUUUGCACACAGGAAGUCGAUGAGCUCGCCUUCCUAUUUGGUCAGGAGCUGGGUCUCGAUCCGCACUGUCUUGAUCAGGUCGUUGGGGUCGAUCUACACCGCCUUGGUUACCUCAAUCGGACGUAUGACGCUCGUGGAGGUCAGCUCAUUGUAGUCAGGGACUGUCGGCGCGGCCACAUUCCUGAGCUUCGGGAGCUCAGCGGAGUUGACGAUGCUAGUGGCGAGCUCAUAGUGCUCGCGGUCGCAUGUGUAGGCGUGCGAGAAGGUGCUACCCACGGUGAUGAGAUCGUUCAGUCUCGGCAUCUUCAGCUUGAGGUAGGUGUAGUUCGGGACCUCCAUGAACUUGGCAUACAAUGGGCGCCCCAAGAUGGCGUGGUAGGACCUCAGAAAUUCCACCACCUCAAAGGUCAAGACCUCCGUGCAGAAGUUGGCACGAUCACCAAACAUGACGGGCAGGUCGAUCUACCCGAGUGGGUACGCCUGCGCCCCUGGGAUCACGUCGUGGAAGGGAGAGCUCACAGGGCGGAGCUUCGACCAGGGGACGUGCAUCGCGUCGAGGGUCUCGACGUACAGGAUGUUGAGGCCGCUACCUCCAUCCAUCAACACCCUGGUGAGACGCUUCUUGUCGACGAUGGGGUUGACAACAAGUGGGUAGCGACCCUGUUGGGGAAUGUGGGAAGGAUGGUCACUCUGAUCAAAUGUGAUCGGGGAGUCCGACCAGCGAAGGAAAGAGGGGAUGGCUGACUCGGCGGCAUCUACCUCUUGAUAGUGCACCUUGCGCUGGCGCUUGCUGUGGUCAGCGUCGGGCCCCCCGAAGAUCAUGAGGCAUCCCUCAGGGUCGGGGAAGCCGUCUCCAUCCUUGCCCAUGGCACCCCCCUUCUGGCCACGUCCUCCUUGCCUUCCCCUCCUUGGGUUUGGCGGCUUGCUGUAGGAAGCGCUUGAGGAGCUCGUAGUCCUUGUAGAGGUGCUUGACGGGGUAGGCGUGGUUGGUGCAUGGGCUCUCCAUGAGCUUGUCGAAGUGGUCAAGUUGGCCCUCUUUUGGCUACUUGCCUAGGCACUCGGUUGCGGCGACCAGGGUUGGGUUGGUCGGGUGGCGCCAGUCCUUCUUGUUCUUCUUGCCCUUCUGUGUGGAGGGGCCCUCAUCCUGGACCUCACGCUUGGCCUUGCCCUUGUCCCGACCGCCGCUGAAGACCACCCGGACCACCUCCUCAUCGAAGGCGUGGUUCGUGGCAAUGUCAAGCAGGUCGUGGGUGGUCCGGGGCUUCACGCAGCCAAGCUUGUGGACCAGGGACUUGCAGGUCAUCUCGGAUAGGAAUGCGUUGACGAUGUUUGCGUCGACUACAUCAGGAAGGGAGUUGCACUGCCUAGAGAACCUGCAGAUAUAAUCCCGCAGGGACUUGUUGGGCUCCUGCUUGCAACUGUUGAGGUUCCAGGUGUUCCCGGGACGGACGUACGUCCCCUGGAAGUUCCCGACAAAGACCUUCUUAAGGUCCGCCUAGUCGUGGAUGCUAUUGGGUAGAAGAAAUUCGAGCCAUGCCCGAACAAACUCUCCUACGCAGAUGGGAAGUACUGGAUGAUGAAGUAGUCAUCAUCCGCUCCACUAGCUUGGCAGGUGAGCCAGAAGUCUUCGGGCCAUACACCGGGGUUCAUCUCCCCAGUGUACUUGGUGAUGUUGGAGGGCAGUCGGAAGCGCUGUGGGAAUAGCGCUUUCUGGAUGUGGCGGCCAAAGGCCCCUGGUUCCGGGCUGUCCGGGCUGGGGCUCCGGUCGCUGUACCAGUUGCUCGAUCGGCCGCCACACCUAGGGUGCACCUCUUCAUACUCCUCGACCGGCCUGCAAGGUGGAAGCAGAAGAAGAAGAAAACAAAGAAGAAGAAGAAACUUUGCUAUUUUAAAACAGAUUCAAACAAAAUGAAUUCAAAUAUGAAAUUUGAACUCAGCAACCAAAAUCAAUGCAACAGCAUGGAUGCAACAAUGCAAACCUAAGAUUCAUUAAUUAAAUUUUAGAAAAAACAUUUAAAUGCCUAAGAAAUUGAAUAAAACCUUAGAAAAGCCUUAAAUCCUUAAACAAGCUUAAACAAAUUCUAGAAAAUUCUAAUAAAUUUUUAUUCAGUUGCAAAAUUGAAAAUUUAGGGUGUUACAAGUCUUGUAUGCACAAAAAAUGUAAACAGUACAAAAAACAUCAGCAUAAUGGUGUGAAACCACCAGUUAUGCAAGAUCACAUAAAUUGUAUUAAACUAGUUUUACCAACAUUUACUUGGUCGCCAUUGUGUUGGAGUGGUUACUUGCAAGUUAAACAAGUAAUAUAAGUCCUCCAUCAAUACCAGAUCAAAAACUACGUGGUCUGUCUAGUCACCUUCUUGACUUUGUUCGUAUCACACAUACCACGUGCUCCUCAGGCAAGACGCAAGCAGCUGGACAGAUGAGAAAUGGUAUUUAGUUAGGCGAAGCAUGUGGCUGCGUGCCACUGUGGUGUAUGUAAAACGAUACACGUCAUGCAUCAUCCAGUCAACUAACAAAUUUGACGUCUUCUCUUUGCUCUUAUCAAAAGAAAAAGUAUCCCUUUCUUUUCUUUUUGCUAUUGGGAUGCAGGGUUCAAGAUGGUAACCUUUUGCAACCAUAACUUACUUGCUCCUUCUGAGGCAAUAAUAAGCAGCUGCAUAUCAAAAGUGCUGUUUAGUUGGGCCAUGUAUAUAUAUGACUGCUGUGGUUAAUCAUGUUCAACAAAUUAAAAUAACUAAUCUAUAUAGUAAACUAUUUCCUCAAAAACUAAGUAACUUUCAAGAGAAUGUUUAAAAUAGAUGAUAUGGACAUACAGUUGUUCAUCAAAUUAAACACAUUAGUAGUGCCUACAUUAUUUCACUAAAUCAACUACAGAUAAGCAUCUCCUUCACCUACCUAUAUCUUUUCUUAUAACAAUAUACUUUCCUUGCAAACAAGUAAUUUCUAGACAAUGUUACAUAUAAAUUUAAUGAACAUAUAAUAACAUUUAUUAAUUGAGCAUACAGUGGUUUGUUUUAUCUGUUGGAGAUAUAUCUCCAAGCUUUGAAAACAUAACCCCUGAAUAUAGAGACAGGGCCUCGAGGACUUGACUCCUAGAUACAUAGAUUUGGAGCCCUCAACAUACUGGCUAAGUCUAGGUCCCGAAUAAGACUCCUAAUACUAAGUCUUAUCCUGAAAUGGAGUUCUAGAGACUAAAAUCUAGGGCCUGAACACGACUUCAAGAGACUAAGUCCGGGCCCUCAACAUACUCCAAACUGAGUCUGGCCCCUAAACAGGACUAGCAUAUUUGGGCCCAAAACAUACUCCAGAUCAACACUAUGGACCCCUCAACAUACUCCCGAUGUCCGGUAGUGCAAGUCCAGAGCCAUUAACACACUCCCAUACUAAGUUUGGACCCCAAACAGGACUCCUAGAGACUAUGUCCAGGGCCUCAACACCCAGAGACCAAGUCUGGGCACGGAAUAUGACUCCUAGAGACCAAGACUGGGCCCGGAACAGGAUUCCCAGAGACUAUGUCGAUCCAGGCCCAUAAGUGGAGGCCCAGGGGCUCGUCGACUGGAUGUAUAUAGGGCGCAUAGCGGCCCUAAAUAAGUAUAAUUAAAUCAUGUGUCUUACAUAGGGCGCUCAGCGCCCUGGUGAAGGCCCAUCAAAUGACCAGAAAUAGUGGUUACAUAUUACCAGCGCAAUAGUGGUUACAUAGAUUUUUUUGAGUCAGAAAAUGAAUUCCUACACAAUAUAAUAGUGGUUACAUAUUACCAGCGCAUUAAAAUGGCUAAUGUAGCAUUGUAAUUUGUGAAGAUAUAAAGACAUAAUCACACAUAUGGUAAAAGAUAAUGGCUAAUUGGUGGAUCGAUCGCAAAGGAAAUUGAGGCGCACCAUUCAAACCAUGCAUGGACUCAUAUGUACGGAAGAGUUGACGGUGCCGAUAAUGACACUAACAUUACAACGACCAUUGCUUAAUAUAAUAUCCUUACACUGCACCUAACCCAAAGUAACAAACAUUGAAACACAUUAGUCACUAAACACAUAUAAUACUAGUGUUCCCAAGUUGUCUCUCAUGCUUAAUUCGGUCUUACGCAUCGGAUGAUGCAAUUGGUCACCAACAGCUGCAGGAAACCCACACCAGCGUUAACUACUAUACCAUUAUUUCCUCACGGCCAUGAACUUCGAAGUGUAUGUGCCUGACGACAAGGGGAUGCUGGCCAGCGAUCAUGCGCUGUUCUUGAGCCCAGAGUGCUUGUCGUUCGUGGUGUGCCGGUCCCAGAUGGUCGGUUGCAAGAGCAACUACUACAUCUAUUCGUUGGUUGUUCACGCAUCGACGACGCCCAGAGAAGCUAGGGUGUGUACUGCAUGGAGGAAGGCCAGGGAGAUUCUACUUGACCAGGGCCUCAGACCUUUAGUGGGCCUGGAAAACGCUGCGCGGCACAUAUGCUUUGCUAUCCCUAGAGCUAGGGCAUGUACAAUAACUUGUUUCAUUCAAAAGUCAAAAGUUGCAGGUUCAUUAUAAACUCACAUGCUACAACAUUUAUUUUCAUAGAUAAAACCGGGUCCAUAAGUUAAUUUUAUAUAAGCUUCCCGUACAUGAAUAUAUGUAUCCCAAACAGGACAGUACAUCUCGUAGGCACACAGCAACAGUAGCAGUAUAUAAAUACUGCCAUUUAUUUUACAUAACUAUCAGAUUGUAGAAACUAGAAACAAGUAGUUGUUUGCAAAAUGCAUGUCAACCAAACUUUCCAUACAAAGAAACCCGUGCUUGAUUUAGUUUAGUAGUGGUUGUUCUCCCAGAACUGAGCCUGGAGCCAAUCAAUUGUCCCCUUUUCCACCUGGAAUGCCUUGGCUAACACAUCAUCCGAGAUUGGUGGCUUUGAUCCAAAGACCGCAUUAGCGAUGGUAAUAGCCCCAGGGUUUUGGCUGCUGAGCGCAGCGAGUGCAACCGCUGGCUUGUCAUGGAUGGGGUUGAACUGGAAGUGGAUGAGCCCUUCGGGGAAUACAAACACAUCACCCUUGUUGAGGACCUUGGCAAACAAUGUGUUGUUUGGGUUGGAGGUGACAAACCCAACAUAGAGGGUCCCCUCAAGCACUGUUAGGAUCUCAGUGGCACGUGGGUGGGUGUGUGGUGGAUUCUCACCUAGGGGUGCAUAGUCAAUGCGAGCUAGAGAGAUGCCUAGAGUGUUGAGACCAGGGAGCUGCAAG
rnacentral:lncRNA from 1 species